rnacentral:rRNA from 1 species
CAGUCGCCGCGGGAAAACGAAGGGGGCUAGCGUUGUUCGGAUUUACUGGGCGUAAAGCGCACGUAGGCGGACUUUUAAGUCAGGGGUGAAAUCCCGGGGCUCAACCCCGGAACUGCCUUUGAUACUGGAAGUCUUGAGUAUGGUAGAGGUGAGUGGAAUUCCGAGUGUAGAGGUGAAAUUCGUAGAUAUUCGGAGGAACACCAGUGGCGAAGGCGGCUCACUGGACCAUUACUGACGCUGAGGUGCGAAAGCGUGGGGAGCAAACAGGAUUAGAUACCCCGGUAGUCCCUGUCUCUUAUAA